rnacentral:lncRNA from 1 species
UUCAUAUUGGCUGCUUUACACCAAAAGCCCCAUAGUUACAUGCACUUUGACACUUGCAUUUCAAAAUGCCUGAUUGUGGAGUUCUGCCAAUACCAGCAAUUGAUCUGGUGCCACGGACCGGCUUAAUUAUUCAAGAUAAAACAAUUCUACGUACUAUCCAAGUAUUUCAGAAAGCAUCAAAAAAAGCUGCAAAACAAAGGACUGACAAGUUGCUAAUCCAAUCCUCUGACUGUCACAGGGUGCGAUAUAAAAGAGAUCCUUUGUUCUUUUAGAGCUGAUUGAGCUCCAUUAGUAUCCACACUCAGAGCCCUGGGCACAAUAUUAAUGCUAAUACCGUUGUUACGGAGAUGGAAAGCCGUUAAGAUUGAACACAGCUCACAAUAUCAUUGGACAUAUUCAUGCAGCAUGUAGUGUGGUGAGAUCCGAUAGCUCUGAACCUUUCUAAAGAGAAAACGAAAAUCCAAUUAACAUCUUCUGUGUAAACCUCCUCAGCUACUUUCACUGGAGAUGACCUUGG